UUUCCGUAGGUGAACCUGCGGAAGGAUCAUUAUUGUAUAACCGAGGUGCGAGGGCUGUCGCUGACCCGAAAGUCCGGGCACGCCCGAGUACCAUCACACACAUCCAUCUCACCCCUAUGUGCACCACCGCGUGGGUCCCCCUUUGGCUUGUUCGGAGGGGGGCUUACGUUUUCACACAAACUUUGUAUGCAGUGUAGAAUGUAUUUUUUGUUUUUGCGAUCACGCAAUCAAUACAACUUUCAACAACGGAUCUCUUGGUUCUG
rnacentral:misc_RNA from 1 species